ACUUGUAAUAACACGUGUAUUAUUAAUACUCAAGAUAAUAAUAUUCUUGAUCCUUGUGAUGAUGCUUCAUCUUUUGUGAGCACUUCUUCUGUAGAGUUAUCAUUUCGAGAAAGAUUGGCAUCCUGUUUCGUACAAACAUUUCCUGGUAGAAAUUUUGGCCGGGUACUUGCACAGCAUUGACCAGCGUGCCACACUGCCACUUCAGCUAGCAUGACACGCUGGUAAGCGCCAUCCGUGAAAUCGUCACAUUUGCCCGCUAGCGCCAAUUUAGAAAUUGAUUUGAUGUGGUGCUGGCAUGGCGCUAACAUGGCGCCAGUAAGUCGGCCUAACUCCAGAAAAGAAAACUGAUUUUGGUUUAUUUUGAUCGCGCUGCGAGUGGUCUUUGGCUGGGAGAAAACGAACACAGCGGGUGAUUACGAUAAUGGCUAUUCGAGUAAUUUUCUCUAGGACCGAAAUAUAUGAUAAGCACAGCCAUCUACUACCAUCAUGAUUUGUGACAACUCAAUGUUGUCUGGUAUAGCCAAAUCAACAUCACGAGCAAGUUACGAGUUGCGAGUUCCGUGAGUUUGUAGCAGGAAAUUGUGAUUCAAAUAAUUCUACAAUAAAAACUGCAAUCGCUCAUUUAAAAUAUAAUACUGAGUCUUGGCCUGAACUUUUACGCAGUUGAUCGGUGACAUUCUUUGCGGUUUCAGUAUCUCAAAGAAACUAGACCAAUAGAAACGCAAAAAGGGAAGUCUUCUGUUCAACAAUUGCAAGAGUCUGCUGUUUUAGUAAGCGAUUAUUUAAAAAAUUGGCCCGUGUUUGCACAGCCUAAUGGAUAUUUACUGAUUCAACAAGAUUUUAAAGAUUUAUAUCCUGGAGGAGAAGAUGGUUUAAUAUCCAAAUGGGAUUCAAGUAAAGAAAUUUUGCUUUUUUAAAUGCUGAAAUUACAAAAUUAGAUGAAUAUGCUAGGAAAUUACUUGCAGAUUUAACUGUUACAAAUCCCGAUCAAAAUGAUGUAAUUCUAUUUUACUUACUACCAUCACUUAUUUGCAAAAAAACAAGAGGUGCGAGCGUAGGUACACCAUCUGUAGCAGAAGCUAAAAAAGCUUUUAUUCUUCAUGUCUCUAUUCCGGGAGAUUUGAAUCGUCAAAUAAAAGCACACUGCGAAUAUCUAGCAAAAAAAUGGUCUAAAUUUACAACCAAUGUUAAUAUUUGUUGGGCUUACUUUAGCAAAUAUUACUGCUAGUUACAUUCAAAUAAAUAUUGUAAGAUAUCAACCCCGUACUCCAUUAAAUGCUCUGGACACAUGUUUCAAGGUGUUUUAUGCACUGAAUGUUGCAUAUCCAAAGGAGUGUCAAACAGUUUGGCUUUUUAUCCAAAAAUAUUUUUACAACAUAUACCUUAAAGAAGAUUAUAACAUUCUUCAAGUGACCAGUAUACUGAGUUCCUUCCUGAAAGGAUUCGUUUCCAAGAAAAUUUAGUGCACUGACAAUAUUAACACUUACGAGGAGUACAUUUUUUUUACAUUCAAAUAAAAUUCGAAAACCUGAA
rnacentral:lncRNA from 1 species